CUCACAUUAUACUGCUCAGAAUACACUGCCCACCCCACUUACAUGUAAAUAUUGUGGGGGGGGGGGGCCUUUCUGUACUAUAUUGAUGCUAAAAUGUUUAUUCUAGUUAUGUUGGUAUACUAAUCUUUUAUUGUUGCAUUGUCCAGAAGGAACCUGUAGCGUUUCGUUGUACACCAUGCGUAUCCCAUACAUACAACUAAAUUUGAAACCACAUACGUCUUUCUGCCCAAGGCCAUAGGCCUUUAUUGUGUUUAUUUUUGCAGGGACAGUGUACAUUAGUCAACAUUUUCAGAAAAAGUGCCGGUUAUAGGCAACAGGCUAAUUUUCGACCUUAGUCCUUCAGUCUAUCAAUCCCCCAUCUGCAAAACAUUAACCAAACAGGUGUAGCAUUCAGUGGGCUUUAACCGACGAAAGCAAUAGUGUAACUACAUGUUGAGUGUCUGACAUGGAGGUGUUACCCGAGUACAUGUUGAGUAUCUGACAUGGUGUUACCUGAGUACAUGUUGAGGGGGUACCUGAAUGGUGUUACCCAAGGACAUGUUGAAUAUCUGACAUGGUGUUACCUGAGUACAUGGUGUUACCUGAGUACAUGUUGAGUAUCUGACAUGGUUUUACCUGAGUACAUGUUGAGUAUA
rnacentral:lncRNA from 1 species